rnacentral:rRNA from 1 species
GACGGAGGAUGCAAGUGUUAUCCGGAAUCACUGGGCGUAAAGCGUCUGUAGGUGGUUUAAAAAGGCCACUGUUAAAAAUUGAAGCUUAACUUCAAAGAUGCCGUGGAAACUUUUAAACUUGAGUAUGGUAGGGGUAGAGGGAAUUUCCAGUGGAGCGGUGAAAUGCGUAGAUAUUGGAAAGACCACCAAUGGCGAAGGCACUCUACUGGGCCAUUACUGACACUGAGAGACGAAAGCUAGGGGAGCAAAUGGG